rnacentral:tRNA from 1 species
AGUUAAUGAACUUGUUAUAAGUAUAUAUUUUGAAAAUAUAAAAAAGGAGAAUAACCCUCCUAUUAACUU